GGCUUCAGCUCCCAGACAAAUGAGCCAACAAGGGAGUGAGGGAGCCAGUAGCUGGAGGCACUGGGCAGCCCUGAAAGCAGAAAAACAAAGCCUUUCUUUUGCACCCACUUUCCCAAUGAUUAAAGAAUAUUGAUCCACCUCCUUUCUUUUGCAGGUUCUUCAGUUUGUUAAAGGGUGAUGCCUGCUACUAAGGACUCCAACUGAGGCCUGCCUGGGCAUAAGUGGGGCCACUUGGGCCCACAACAGCAUGCUCUGUCAGGGGCAUUUGGUGACCAGAAAGAGAAGCUGUUCUUUGAAUGGGUCGCCCACUGCAGACUUGACAACACAGCCUUGUGCUGAACUCAGUUCAAUUUGUUCCUCUUUUUUCUAUUAUCAAUGUGUGUUAGAGUCUUAAACAAGUCAAAAUAACACCUGGCAUUUUGCCAGGGGAAUGUUAGAGUUCGUCAACAAGUCUGGAUGGUGCCUGGCAAAAUGCCAGAGGGAGUGGUUUGAGAAGUAACAAAAGGGAGCCAUUAAGUGUGGAGAUUCCUUAUUGGUUGACUGAUGUAUCUAGUUUAUGUUAAUUAGAUAAGCUGUGUGGAAUGUAUAAAUACCGCUCCUGUCCUGCAAUAAACGGCUUCCACUCCUGCUGUAUCAAUCUACACAAGUUGUUGGUCACCCCCCCCCCCGCCCCCCGGUUAUUUUGCUGCAGCCGGACUGCGGCAAAUGUGCUUUGGUGAAGCAGUCCAGAGACCCCCACCCAGAAGACUCUUACCAUAAUUAAGCAGAAACCCACAUCAUAUUUGUCACAUGUAAGUCUCUCUUCUUAUCAGAGAGCUUUUUGCAUAGCGCAUUAGCUAUCUGCAAAAAUCUGCAGAAGGCUUGUAAUUUCCUCUUUUUGUUAAUUGCCAGUUUUGCAGGAAAACAAACACACUUGUGAAACCUCUAUUUAGAGGAUGGAAAGAAAAGCACUUGCUAUUGUAAAGGUUAAAUUUAAGUUUUGCUUUUCUGUAAGUUUAAGUUCUGUUUUCCUGGAACCCGAAACUUAUGUUAAAAACAGUUACUUAUGUCAAAAUGUACCCUGACCCAACACCCCCUGACAAAACGCAUGAUUAUUCUGUAAUGGUUAUUUUGUAACAAUCCCACCCUCACACCCUAACUGCCAUAAGAACUUCCCUGUUUAAACACUGCAUAAAAACUCUGCUUAAGCUGUGCUCAGGGCUCCAGCUUCUCUCAGGAGAGCUCUGAGCCCCAGCAUGCUGGUCCAAUAAAC
rnacentral:lncRNA from 1 species